UACGUAGGGUCCGAGCGUUGUCCGGAAUUACUGGGCGUAAAGGGCGCGUAGGCGGCCUACUAAGUCAGACGUGAAAUCCCCAGGCUUAACUUGGGAACUGCGUCUGAUACUGGAAGGCUUGAGUGCGGGAGAGGGAUGUGGAAUUCCAGGUGUAGCGGUGAAAUGCGUAGAUAUCUGGAGGAACACCGGUGGCGAAGGCGGCAUCCUGGACCGACACUGACGCUGAGGCGCGAAAGCUAGGGGAGCAAACGGG
rnacentral:rRNA from 1 species